GGGCCCGCACAAGCGGUGGAGUAUGUGGUUUAAUUCGAUGCAACGCGAAGAACCUUACCAGGGUUUGACAUCCUGCGAAUCUCUUGGAAACGAGAGAGUGCCUUCGGGAACGCAGUGACAGGUGGUGCAUGGCUGUCGUCAGCUCGUGUCGUGAGAUGUUGGGUUAAGUCCCGCAACGAGCGCAACCCUUAUUGCUAGUUGCCAUCAUUUAGUUGGGCACUCUAGCGAGACCGCCGGUGAUAAACCGGAGGAAGGUGUGGAUGACGUCAAGUCCUCAUGGCCCUUACGGGUUGGGCUACACACGUGCUACAAUGGUAGUGACAAUGGGUUAAUCCCAAAAAGCUAUCUCAGUUCGGAUUGUCGUCUGCAACUCGACGGCAUG
rnacentral:rRNA from 1 species